rnacentral:tRNA from 1 species
GAAAAGGUAAGCUAAACUAAAAGCUAUUGGGCUCAUAACCCAACAAUGGAAAUGUCCCCUUUUCA